rnacentral:rRNA from 1 species
UAUUACAAUGAAGAGUUUGAUCCUGGCUCAGGAUGAACGCUAGCUACAGGCUUAACACAUGCAAGUCGAGGGGCAGCAUGGUCUUAGCUUGCUA